rnacentral:RNase_P_RNA from 1 species
UUGGCCAGUCGAGUCAUCGUCUGUAUUUAUUUACGGGAGGAAAGUCCGGACUCCAUAGAGCACUGUAGCGGGUAACGCCCGUCCGGCGCAAGCCGAGGACUAGUGGAACAGAGACGUAGUCCGUCAGGAUCCGCGAAGUUUUACUAAGCAUUCCUGACGGGGUGAAACGGCUAAACUCUACAGGGAGCAAGACCAAAUAGGCAAAGAGGAGUUGCUCGCUCCAUUUGGAUUUGCGGGUAGGUUGCUAGAGAUAAACAGUAAUGUUUGUCCAAGAUAAAUGAUGACAUAGAACAGGAUCCGGCUUACGGACUGGCCAUUAUC